CGCUCUUUGUAAUAAAAUAAAUAAAGAGUCGUGCCUGCCCAGUGAAUUUUUAACGGCCGCAGUACCCUGACUGUGCUAAGGUAGCAUAAUCACUUGUUUUUUAAUUGAAAGCUAGUAUGAACGGCUUGACGUAGGUAAACCUGUCUCUUUUAUACUAAUUAGAAAUUAAUCUUUAAGUGAAAAAGCUUAAAUAUCCUCAAAAGACGAAAAGACCCUAUCGAGCUUAAAAAAUAUAGUUAAUUAAAUUUAUAGUAAAAUUAUUUUAAUUUAUUUUUUUUUGUUGGGGCGACAAAAGAACAUAUAAAGCUUCUUUUAAUUCUAUAAAUUUUUAAAUUUCUAGAGCCAUAAGUUAUGAUUAAAAGAAAAAGCUACCGUAGGGAUAACAGCGUUAUUUUUUUAAAGAGUUCUUAUCGAAGAAAAAGUUUGCGACCUCGAUGUUGGAUUAAAGUAACUUCUAAGUGCAGCAGCCUAGAAAGUGGGUCUGUUCGACCCUUAAACCUUU
rnacentral:rRNA from 1 species